GUGCAUCACCACUGCCCAGCUAAAAUUAUUGGAACACUGCAAAGAAGUUUAGCAUUGUUACUGUGCAAGGAUGACGUGCAAAUUUGUGAAAGUCACCAGUCUAUU